rnacentral:rRNA from 1 species
UGAACGCUGGCGGCAGGCCUAACACAUGCAAGUCGAGCGGAUGAAGGGAGCUUGCUCCUGGAUUCAGCGGCGGACGGGUGAGUAAUGCCUAGGAAUCUGCCUGGUAGUGGGGGAUAACGUCCGGAAACGGGCGCUAAUACCGCAUACGUCCUGAGGGAGAAAGUGGGGGAUCUUCGGACCUCACGCUAUCAGAUGAGCCUAGGUCGGAUUAGCUAGUUGGUGGGGUAAAGGCCUACCAAGGCGACGAUCCGUAACUGGUCUGAGAGGAUGAUCAGUCACACUGGAACUGAGACACGGUCCAGACUCCGACGGGAGGCAGCAGUGGGGAAUAUUGGACAAUGGGCGAAAGCCUGAUCCAGACAUGCCGCGUGUGUGAAGAAGGUCUUCGGAUUGUAAAGCACUUUAAGUUGGGAGGAAGGGCAGUAAGUUAAUACCGUGCUGUUUUGACGUUACCAACAGAAUAAGCACCGGCUAACUUCGUG